CCAGUAGUCAUAUGCUUGUCUCAAAGAUUAAGCCAUGCAUGUCUAAGUUCACACCCUCGCACGGUGAAACCGCGAAUGGCUCAUUAAAUCAGUCGAGGUUCCUUAGAUGAUCCAAUCCUACUUGGAUAACUGUGGCAAUUCUAGAGCUAAUACAUGAGGACCUGCUCCGACCCGGUGUCGCAGCCGGGAAAGAGCGCUUUUAUUAGUUCAAAACCAGUCGGUGGGUCCGCCCUUUCGCGGGGCGCGGCCGGCCGUCCCUUUUGGUGACUCUGGAUAACUUUUUGCCGAUCGCAUGGCCUCGAGCCGGCGACGCAUCUUUCAAAUGUCUGCCCUAUCAAAUGUCGAUGGUACGCGAUAGGCCUACCAUGUUGACUACGGGUAACGGGGAAUCGGGGUUCGAUUCCGGAGAGGGAGCAUGAGAAAGGGCUACCACAUCCAAGGAAGGCAGAGGCGCGCA
rnacentral:rRNA from 1 species